GUGGUCCAGCGAUGCAGCAUCGCGUGGGUCACGUCGGGAUGAAACUGAAUGCCGAAGCAUCGCCCGGUGCGAUAAGCCUGCACCGGAAAAUCAUCGCCCUCGGCCAGCAGCUCGGUGCCCACGGGAAGCUCAAAGCCUUCGCGAUGCCAUUGAUAGACGUGGUCGGGCCAAUGCGAGCAUAUCUUCCGGCCCGCUUCGGUCGGACGGAUC
rnacentral:misc_RNA from 1 species